rnacentral:lncRNA from 1 species
AAAAAAAACAAAAAAAAAAAAAAAAAAAAAAAAAAAAAAAAAAAAAACAGGGGGAGCCAUAAAGGGAAGACAAAAUGCCUCAAAGGUCUAUACUUUUCAAAACUUAAUUUUCGUCAUUGGUGUCUUCGUCCCUGUGGAAAAGGAGUGAAGAUCAUUUUUUGCAUUUGUUGAUUAUUGAUUGCAAAACAUCAACGGUAUGUAAGUAAGUAAUCAAUAAACCUUGAUUUUUUUGGUACAAAAACACUUCGGGAAGUGGGUUUUUAGCAUUUUAGAUUUUUUUUUGCUUAGUUACUUGGAUUUGAUAAGCAAAGACUACCAUUUUUUUGAAUGAAAUUGUCGUAGUUUAAAAGGAACCGACACCAACGUUCAACGAUGAAACUUUUGCAAAUGGUUCGUGUUUUGCGUAAUAUAUUGAUGACUAUCCGCUAACCAUGCACAUAAGUUUUAAAUUAUUCACAUUAAUGUUGUGUUAACUGUUUGUAUGAAGGCUACGAUCAAAAUGGAGGGUAAUGUCAACCGCUAAUGUGCCAUGGGGUAAAAUUUUACAACCAUAUGUUUGAUGAGUGUAAGGCAUUUGGUCAUCUAUUUUGUGGGGACGAAGAUAAAGUUGUUGGGGGAGGAAGCUGCACGCUUGGUUUGUUUAGUAAAUGGAUUAAUUAUAUUUCUAGUAAGGUGCUUUAAUACAUUAAUAUGUUGUGAUAUAGGUCUGGCCGAAUAAGGCAGAAGAUAUGAAAUAAUCAAAAUAAAAUGAGAAUGUUGAUAAGGUUGAGGAUGAUGAUGUUGAUAAGGUUGACGAUACAAACAAGAUAGAUAUAAGUAUUUUUUUUUUUUUUCGUUUAUUAUACCAUUUUGUAAAUUCGUAAAGUUGCAUGCAGGUUGGCCUAAUAAGGAAGAAGAGAAGAAAGAAACAUAUGACAAGAAAGAAUUCGUUUACGAGACACCGCCAUAGGUCAAGAGGUCUACACAUGCAAAAUGAUCGGCACCAAAUUAAUCUCAACGCACACUGUUAUCUAACCCUCUACAUGCAGUAGCCCUUUGAUUUGAACAUAAGAAAACCUUAUUUCUAGGAGUAAUUAUUUCUAGGAGUAAGGUGGGAAAAUAAUGGUGUUUGAAUGACUCGUGAGGCAUAAUGCUCUUUCGCAAUACAUUCAUGAAGAAGUUAGGUUAUUAGAUAAAAUGCACACCUCUUUAGUUGGGUUAAUAUUAUAGAAACCCUAAAUUUUAAAUGUGUAAUUGGAAAAAGCGCUGAUAAUUUUUUUAUUAUUGUUGUGGCCAUAAUUUUUUCGCAGAAUUAUCACUCUAACCCACUUAACGAGUUUAAUGGUUAAGUUGGUUAACUUAUUUGCAAAAUCAGUCCUAAAAAGUUCAAAUUUAGUCUCUGAGGUUUAAAAAAAUUAAACCACAUGGUUUUUUAACUUUAUUUUUCGUUUUUGUAUACUUUAU